rnacentral:rRNA from 1 species
AGAGUUUGAUCCUGGCUCAGGACGAACGCUGGCGGCGUGCCUAAUACAUGCAAGUCGAACGAACCGCGACUAAGUGCUUGCACUUGAUCAAGGUGAGUGGCGAACGGGUGAGUAACACGUGGGUAACCUACCUCAUAGUGGGGGAUAACAGUCGGAAACGACUGCUAAUACCGCAUAGGACAUGGAAUCACAUGAUUCAGUGAGGAAAGGUGGCGCAAGCUAUCGCUAAGAGAUGGACCCGCGGUGCAUUAGCUAGUUGGUAGGGUAAAGGCCUACCAAGGCGAUGAUGCAUAGCCGACCUGAGAGGGUGAUCGGCCACAUUGGGACUGAGACACGGCCCAAACUCCUACGGGAGGCAGCAGUAGGGAAUCUUCCGCAAUGGACGCAAGUCUGACGGAGCAACGCCGCGUGAGUGAAGAAGGUCUUCGGAUCGUAAAGCUCUGUUGUUAGAGAAGAACAGCGCAUAGAGUAACUGUUAUGCGUGUGACGGUAUCUAACCAGAAAGCCACGGCUAACUACGUGCCAGCAGCCGCGGUAAUACGUAGGUGGCGAGCGUUGUCCGGAUUUAUUGGGCGUAAAGGGAGUGUAGGCGGUCUUUUAAGUCUGAUGUGAAAGCCCACGGCUCAACCGUGGAGGGUCAUUGGAAACUGGGAGACUUGAGUGCAGAAGAGGAGAGCGGAAUUCCAUGUGUAGCGGUGAAAUGCGUAGAUAUAUGGAGGAACACCAGUGGCGAAGGCGGCUCUCUGGUCUGUAACUGACGCUGAGGCUCGAAAGCGUGGGGAGCAAACAGGAUUAGAUACCCUGGUAGUCCACGCCGUAAACG